ACAGCAGUUCGGUUUGUCGCUGUCCCGCUCAUGCGGGAUUGAGGAAAGUCCGGGCAACGCAGAGCACCAUACUUCUUAACGGGAAGUUGUCAGUGAUGGCAAAGUAGUGUAACAGAAAAUUACCGCUCCGAAAUCACCUUUCCAUUUCCCCUUUCCUUCGGGAGAGGGUGCCCGCAGGGCGGAUGAGGUGUCGGGGUAAGGGUGAAAAGGCGGGGUAAGAGCCCACCGGAGCCUGUGGCAACACAGAUUGCCGUACACCUUAUGGGUUGCAAGAUCAUGUAUACCGGCGCAGUAGGAUGGCUCGUCCGAUGCCGGGGGGUAGAUUGCUAGAUUCGGUCAGUGAUGGCAGAACCAGAUAAAUGACAAACAAUUGUGCCACGUGUACAAUACAGAACCCGGCUUACAGAUCUGCUGUUUUU
rnacentral:RNase_P_RNA from 1 species